GGGGGUAGGGGGUUGUACUAGCAAAGUAUUGAUUUUUUUGGAGUUUUUACUUUCUGGGGUUGCUCUUUGUUGGCUUAACUAGUGAAAAGUAAGUUGCUUGAUAGGAGUUUGUUGAUUUGUUGAAAUGAGGGUAUCAUCAUCUGGGUUCAAUCCUCAGCCAGAGGAAGCAGGGGAGAAGAAAUGCUUGAAUUCAGAGUUGUGGUACGCGUGUGCAGGACCACUAGUUUCACUUCCACCUGUAGGAAGCAGAGUUGUGUAUUUUCCUCAAGGGCAUAGUGAGCAGGUUGCUGCCUCAACCAACAAGGAAGUAGAUGCUCAUAUCCCUAAUUAUCCUGGUUUACCGCCUCAACUAAUUUGUCAGCUGCACAACUUGACAAUGCAUGCAGAUGUUGAGACUGAUGAAGUAUAUGCUCAAAUGACAUUGCAGCCACUAAGUCCACAAGAGCAGAAGGAUGUGUGCCUGCUACCGGCAGAACUUGGCAUCCCGAGUAAACAACCAACCAACUAUUUCUGUAAAACUUUGACGGCAAGUGACACCAGUACUCAUGGUGGAUUCUCUGUCCCUCACCGAGCCGCAGAAAAAGUUUUUCCCCCUCUUGAUUACUCUCAGCAGCCACCCUGUCAAGAGUUGAUUGCAAAAGAUCUCCAUGGGAACGAAUGGAAAUUCCGGCAUAUUUUUCGCGGACAACCAAAGAGGCAUCUAUUGACAACCGGAUGGAGUGUGUUUGUGAGUGCAAAGAGACUUGUUGCAGGCGAUGCAGUCAUCUUUAUCUGGAACGAAAACAAUCAAUUGCUUUUGGGGAUUCGACGUGCUAAUCGUCCUCAAACUCUCAUGCCUUCUUCAGUCUUGUCAAGUGAUAGCAUGCACAUU
rnacentral:misc_RNA from 1 species